rnacentral:rRNA from 1 species
AUACAUGCAGUCGAGCGAACAGAAGGGAGCUUGCUCCCGGAUGUUAGCGGCGGACGGGUGAGUAACACGUGGGUAACCUGCCUGUAAGACUGGGAUAACUCCGGGAAACCGGAGCUAAUACCGGAUAGUUCCUUGAACCGCAUGGUUCAAGGAUGAAAGACGGUUUCGGCUGUCACUUACAGAUGGACCCGCGGCGCAUUAGCUAGUUGGUGGGGUAAUGGCUCACCAAGGCGACGAUGCGUAGCCGACCUGAGAGGGUGAUCGGCCACACUGGGACUGAGACACGGCCCAGACUCCUACGGGAGGCAGCAGUAGGGAAUCUUCCGCAAUGGACGAAAGUCUGACGGAGCAACGCCGCGUGAGUGAUGAAGGUUUUCGGAUCGUAAAGCUCUGUUGUUAGGGAAGAACAAGUGCGAGAGUAACUGCUCGCACCUUGACGGUACCUAACCAGAAAGCCACGGCUAACUACGUGCCAGCAGCCGCGGUAAUACGUAGGUGGCAAGCGUUGUCCGGAAUUAUUGGGCGUAAAGGGCUCGCAGGCGGUUUCUUAAGUCUGAUGUGAAAGCCCCCGGCUCAACCGGGGAGGGUCAUUGGAAACUGGGAAACUUGAGUGCAGAAGAGGAGAGUGGAAUUCCACGUGUAGCGGUGAAAUGCGUAGAGAUGUGGAGGAACACCAGUGGCGAAGGCGACUCUCUGGUCUGUAACUGACGCUGAGGAGCGAAAGCGUGGGGAGCGAACAGGAUUAGAUACCCUGGUAGUCCACGCCGUAACGAUGAGUGCUAAGUGUUAGGGGGUUUCGCCCCUUAGUGCUGCAGCUAACGCAUUAGCACUCCGCCUGGGAGUACGGUCGCAGACUGAACUCAAGGAUGACGGGGGCCCGCACAGCGUGA